rnacentral:rRNA from 1 species
CCCUUAGAUGUUCUGGGCCGCACGCGCGCUACACUGAUGCAUUCAACGAGUCUAAAACCUGCUCUGAUAGGGGUGGGGAAUCUUUUGAAUGUGCAUCGUGAUUGGGAUAGAUGAUUGCAAUUUUUCAUCUUCAACGAGGAAUGCCUAGUAAACGCAAGUCAUCAGCUUGCAUUGAUUACGUCCCUGCCCUUUGUACACACCGCCCGUCGCUCCUACCGAUUGAAUGAUCCGAUGAAUAUCAUGGAUUGAGGAUGCAAGCAGGUUCGCCUGUCUUCAUCUUCGAGAAGUGAAGUAAAUCUUAUCAUUUAGAGGAAGGAGAAGUCGUAACA